rnacentral:rRNA from 1 species
GUAGGGAAUAUUGGGCAAUGGAUGCAAGUCUGACCCAGCCAUCCCGCGUGCCGGAAGAAGGCCCUCAGGGUUGUAAACGGCUUUUGACGGUGAAGAAUCGACAGGAUGCGUCCUGUUUUGACGGUAGCCGUUGAAUAAGCACCGGCUAACUCCGUGCCAGCAGCCGCGGUAAUACGGAGGGUGCGAGCGUUGUCCGGAUUUAUUGGGUUUAAAGGGUGCGUAGGCUGGAAGGUCAGUCAGCGGUGAAAAGCUGUCGCUUAACGAUAGUCUUGCCGCAGAUACUUCCUUUCUUGGAUGAGGAGGAGGCCACUGGAACGGAUGGUGUAGCGGUGAAAUGCAUAGAUAUCAUCCAGAACACCGAUUGCGAAGGCAGGUGGCUGUACCUUAAUCGACGCUGAUGCACGAAAGCAUGGGGGCAAACAGGAUUAGAAACCCGGGUAGUCC